rnacentral:rRNA from 1 species
UACGGAGGGUGCAAGCGUUGUUCGGAAUCACUGGGCGUAAAGCGCGUGUAGGCGGCCUUCUCAGUCUGAUGUGAAAGCCCGGGGCUCACCCCCGGAAGUGCAUUGGAUACUGGAAGGCUGGAGUACCGGAGAGGAGGGUGGAAUUCCUGGUGUAGCGGUGAAAUGCGUAGAUAUCAGGAGGAACACCGGUGGCGAAAGCGGCUCACUGGACCGUUACUGACGCUGAGGUGCGAAAGCUAGGGGAGCAAACGGG